AAUAGACCACUUUCGAGUUCAUCCGUCACCGGCAAAAACUCGUCAAUUAUGCGCGCCUUUAUGACGUCAUUUACCAGAUAGAGGGGAUCGCCUGUAUCCCUGCACUAUUUACGUUCAUCAAGCGUCUUAGUGAUCGUCGUUGUGCAGGUUAAACUAGAAAUAAUGGUUGUUCUGUAGGUACUUAAUGACAAUUCCCUAAUGACAGCAGUGCUGAUUGUCAAUUUUGAGAAUUUAAUUUGCUGAAUAAUUCGUACAAUAUAGAAUUAUAGUUUUCCAACCACUCGCUCAACAUUGAAACGGAAGUGACGACGCCCCUAAACGCACAAAUGACGUUCACUAAAACCAGAGUUUUUGACGGAAAUGCAUCAAACUCGAAAGUUGUCUAUUGAAGAAUGCUCAGUACUUACUGAUCAAGCAGGAUAAGGAAUAAACAACAGCAGAAGGUCACCAACAGGUCUUCAAUGUAGAGAGAAAUUCCCGCACCCGGAGGCGUCCCUCAGCUGGCUCCUAAACAAAUAUAUACUAGUUCAGUGAUAAUGAAGGC
rnacentral:lncRNA from 1 species